AUCCUGUAGAAAGGGGGCACGCACCUAAUACAACCAUCGGGCGGUUUAGCUCCAGUCAGUCAUGGGCUCUGCAGCCAAAGUGAUUCUUUACCAACUAUUCCGAAGUCCCCGAGCGCCAAGUCCGUCUCCGUUUGCUGUUAAACUAGAUACUUUCCUCAGAAUGGCUAAAAUAGAAUACACAGCACAUUGCAGAACGACUUCAGCGUGACACAGUCGUCCAAAGGCAAGAUCCUCUGGAUGCGAUACGACGGAGAACCUGUAGAGGACUCUCAGUUCUGUGUCGAGUAUCUGAACCGGAAGUUAAACAUAAACCUAAACAGUCACAUGACCGAGGAACAACGAGCUAUUGCGCAUGCGUUUCGGAAGAUGGCGGAAGUGAAUCUAUACUGGUGUAUGGGGAUGGCUAGAAUGGAAAAUAUGGAGUUUAUGACAAGUAUGCCCGGAAAUAGGUUCAACAAACUAUUUAUUUGGUAUGGUAUACGCGUGUAUCUGAACCAGAUGAAAGCUCACGGAAUCAGACCACACUCCCAUGAAGAAAGCCUGCAUAUUAUGGAGGGUGAUUUGAGAUCACUGUCAGUCUACCUAGGUAAGGAAUGCAAGGCGAGUUGUCUUUGACUUCAGCAUAGAUAAGUUUGUGUUGGCUAACAUUUGCUUUGUGUUUGUGUUCCCAUACGCCUAAACGAGGACGAGGCCACUCAAAGUUGAGGACUUCUGUUUCCCGAUGACUCAUGACAGAAGGG